UUUUCCUUAUCACAAAAGGAGUAUAACUUCCAAUUUGAUAAAUCAAAUUGGCAUUGGUUCAAAUGUAGUUAGCCGUGGAGCAAAUAAACAAAAUCCAAUGUUACUUUAGCAUCCCAAUUGAAAUGAAAAAUGGCAUUAUAGCCUAAGUCCCUGCCAAUUGGGUUUCAUUUUUCGUUUGAGGUUGAGUCAAACAGCACAACUCACUCAUUAUGGAUCCAAAACAACGAAAGGCCCAAUCUUUUUAGAGUUCACAUAUGGUUUUUAAG
rnacentral:lncRNA from 1 species